rnacentral:rRNA from 1 species
UACAGAGGUCCCGAGCGUUGUUCGGAUUCACUGGGCGUAAAGGGUGCGUAGGUGGUGGGGUAAGUCUCGUGUGAAAGCUCGCAGCUUAACUGCGAAAAGUCACGGGAUACUAUUCUGCUAGAGGCUUGGAGGGGGGACUGGAAUACUUGGUGUAGCAGUGAAAUGCGUAGAUAUCAGGAGGAAUACCUAUGGCGAAAGCAGGUAUCUGGGCCAUCACUGACGCUGAGCUGCGAAAGCUAGGGGAGCAAACAGG